rnacentral:lncRNA from 10 species
AGAUUUUCAAGCACAUCUAGGAAGUAUUUCAAAAGGUAAUUUAGGAAAAAUUUCAAAAGAUAAUCUUUAGGCCCUUCACAUGCUCCUAUCUUCCAGGUUCUGGAAGCAGCUAUCGCAAGUGCUUAAAUGUUCCUCCUGUGACUCUGUGACUGUCCAAAGUCCCUGUUUCCAGUUCAGCUUUCUUUGAAAAGCCCUUGAGCUUUAAUAUCACCAUCAUGCCUCAUUAAAACUCCUAUUCACUGGGUGCAGAAGACUGCUUAUUACUGAAAGUAAUUUGACUAAAACAUAAAUACUGCAAAAUGUGUCUACAUACGUCUCUUUGAAACAACCUGAACUCUUCUCUCAAUAUAAAAUUGAGGUGAAAUACCAAAUUAAGGCACAUGGGUCCGUUAUUGCCAAAGUGAUGGAUUUCCUGACAACCAUUCCACCCAGAAGAUUUUUUUUCCCAGAACUAAUAAUCCCAUCCCCGUUGCUGGUGAUUAACUUAAUAACGAGCAUGACAAUCAACAAACAGAUUGAAAAGGCAACCUACUCAGAAUGGGAGAAAAUAUGAAACCAUAUACCAGAGAUGAAAGUAAUAUCCAGAAUAUAUAAAGAAUUCCUACAACUUGAUAACAAAAACACCCCAAUCUAAAAAUGGACACAGAAUUUAAAUAGACAUUUCUCCAAUGAAGAUGGCCACCACACAUGUGAAAAGAUGCUCAACAUCACUAAUCAUCAAGGGAAAUGCAAAUCAAAACCACAAUAGCACAAUGAGAUAUCAUUUCAGACCCCGUA